rnacentral:sRNA from 1 species
CCCCUCCCCAGAGUCCUCUUAGGUGACUGGUGAAUCUUUCCAGUUCCCGAAUGCAUUCUCUGGAACAGAUUGGUCCACUCUGUGAUUGGCCUCGCCCCUCAAGUUGCAGAUCUCUUUGUUAAUUACUGUCUAUUGCAAGAGGAAGCUUCUCUGAUGAGGAUGAACAAUGCUCUACUCGAUGGUAUAGCAAUAUGGCGUCAGUAGUCCUUUUAUUGCUAUGUCCUUAUAACAGAAUAAUAGUAGUAAGUUUGUCCCUAAGCAUGUGACUAUCUAGUUUCAGGGUUUUCACCAUGGCGGCGGUGGCAGCAGCAGCAACGGCAGCUAUGGGUUCCAUCUUAUGGAGUGGGUCGUAAAUCCAAGAACAUUUGUGCUAUUUUUGCGUAUAUGGACUCAACAGAGACUCUGAUAGCUUACAAAAGACCUGCACAGGCUGGAACUAGACAAAAUCCCAGCACUGACGACGGGAAGUGGAUACAAAGUCCUAGCCCAAAUCAAGAAGCUAUCUAAAAACAACAUGAAGUUGGCCGAGUAGGGAGGUUUGUCUGUGUGAGCUCAGUGCCUGUGGAGGUCAGAGGAAGGCAUAUGAUCCCCGGAGCUGGAGUUGCAGGUGGUUCUGAGCUGCUUGACGUGAAUGCUGGGAACCAAACUAUUGUUCUGUGCAAGAGCAAUAAAUGCUUUUAGACAU